rnacentral:pre_miRNA from 1 species
UUGGGUUAAAUCGUUGUAGGUCUACACUUUGGAAAUAAAACUCAUGCAAAGUGGUGAGACAUACAUCAAUUUCAUCCAA